AGCGUACACGGUGGAUGCCCUGGCAGUCAGAGGCGAUGAAGGACGUGCUAAUCUGCGAUAAGCGUCGGUAAGGUGAUAUGAACCGUUAUAACCGGCGAUUUCCGAAUGGGGAAACCCAGUGUGAUUCGUCACACUAUCAUUAACUGAAUCCAUAGGUUAAUGAGGCGAACCGGGGGAACUGAAACAUCUAAGUACCCCGAGGAAAAGAAAUCAACCGAGAUUCCCCCAGUAGCGGCGAGCGAACGGGGAGCAGCCCAGAGCCUGAAUCAGUGUGUGUGUUAGUGGAAGCGUCUGGAAAGGCGCGCGAUACAGGGUGACAGCCCCGUACACAAAAAUGCACAUGCUGUGAGCUCGAUGAGUAGGGCGGGACACGUGGUAUCCUGUCUGAAUAUGGGGGGACCAUCCUCCAAGGCUAAAUACUCCUGACUGACCGAUAGUGAACCAGUACCGUGAGGGAAAGGCGAAAAGAACCCCGGCGAGGGGAGUGAAAAAGAACCUGAAACCGUGUACGUACAAGCAGUGGGAGCACGCUUAGGCGUGUGACUGCGUACCUUUUGUAUAAUGGGUCAGCGACUUAUAUUCUGUAGCAAGGUUAACCGAAUAGGGGAGCCGAAGGGAAACCGAGUCUUAACUGGGCGUUAAGUUGCAGGGUAUAGACCCGAAACCCGGUGAUCUAGCCAUGGGCAGGUUGAAGGUUGGGUAACACUAACUGGAGGACCGAACCGACUAAUGUUGAAAAAUUAGCGGAUGACUUGUGGCUGGGGGUGAAAGGCCAAUCAAACCGGGAGAUAGCUGGUUCUCCCCGAAAGCUAUUUAGGUAGCGCCUCGUGAAUUCAUCUCCGGGGGUAGAGCACUGUUUCGGCAAGGGGGUCAUCCCGACUUACCAACCCGAUGCAAACUGCGAAUACCGGAGAAUGUUAUCACGGGAGACACACGGCGGGUGCUAACGUCCGUCGUGAAGAGGGAAACAACCCAGACCGCCAGCUAAGGUCCCAAAGUCAUGGUUAAGUGGGAAACGAUGUGGGAAGGCCCAGACAGCCAGGAUGUUGGCUUAGAAGCAGCCAUCAUUUAAAGAAAGCGUAAUAGCUCACUGGUCGAGUCGGCCUGCGCGGAAGAUGUAACGGGGCUAAACCAUGCACCGAAGCUGCGGCAGCGACGCUGAUGCGUUGUUGGGUAGGGGAGCGUUCUGUAAGCCUGCGAAGGUGUGCUGUGAGGCAUGCUGGAGGUAUCAGAAGUGCGAAUGCUGACAUAAGUAACGAUAAAGCGGGUGAAAAGCCCGCUCGCCGGAAGACCAAGGGUUCCUGUCCAACGUUAAUCGGGGCAGGGUGAGUCGACCCCUAAGGCGAGGCCGAAAGGCGUAGUCGAUGGGAAACAGGUUAAUAUUCCUGUACUUGGUGUUACUGCGAAGGGGGGACGGAGAAGGCUAUGUUGGCCGGGCGACGGUUGUCCCGGUUUAAGCGUGUAGGCUGGUUUUCCAGGCAAAUCCGGAAAAUCAAGGCUGAGGCGUGAUGACGAGGCACUACGGUGCUGAAGCAACAAAUGCCCUGCUUCCAGGAAAAGCCUCUAAGCAUCAGGUAACAUCAAAUCGUACCCCAAACCGACACAGGUGGUCAGGUAGAGAAUACCAAGGCGCUUGAGAGAACUCGGGUGAAGGAACUAGGCAAAAUGGUGCCGUAACUUCGGGAGAAGGCACGCUGAUAUGUAGGUGAAGCGACUUGCUCGUGGAGCUGAAAUCAGUCGAAGAUACCAGCUGGCUGCAACUGUUUAUUAAAAACACAGCACUGUGCAAACACGAAAGUGGACGUAUACGGUGUGACGCCUGCCCGGUGCCGGAAGGUUAAUUGAUGGGGUCAGCGCAAGCGAAGCUCUUGAUCGAAGCCCCGGUAAACGGCGGCCGUAACUAUAACGGUCCUAAGGUAGCGAAAUUCCUUGUCGGGUAAGUUCCGACCUGCACGAAUGGCGUAAUGAUGGCCAGGCUGUCUCCACCCGAGACUCAGUGAAAUUGAACUCGCUGUGAAGAUGCAGUGUACCCGCGGCAAGACGGAAAGACCCCGUGAACCUUUACUAUAGCUUGACACUGAACAUUGAGCCUUGAUGUGUAGGAUAGGUGGGAGGCUUUGAAGUGUGGACGCCAGUCUGCAUGGAGCCGACCUUGAAAUACCACCCUUUAAUGUUUGAUGUUCUAACGUUGACCCGUAAUCCGGGUUGCGGACAGUGUCUGGUGGGUAGUUUGACUGGGGCGGUCUCCUCCUAAAGAGUAACGGAGGAGCACGAAGGUUGGCUAAUCCUGGUCGGACAUCAGGAGGUUAGUGCAAUGGCAUAAGCCAGCUUGACUGCGAGCGUGACGGCGCGAGCAGGUGCGAAAGCAGGUCAUAGUGAUCCGGUGGUUCUGAAUGGAAGGGCCAUCGCUCAACGGAUAAAAGGUACUCCGGGGAUAACAGGCUGAUACCGCCCAAGAGUUCAUAUCGACGGCGGUGUUUGGCACCUCGAUGUCGGCUCAUCACAUCCUGGGGCUGAAGUAGGUCCCAAGGGUAUGGCUGUUCGCCAUUUAAAGUGGUACGCGAGCUGGGUUUAGAACGUCGUGAGACAGUUCGGUCCCUAUCUGCCGUGGGCGCUGGAGAACUGAGGGGGGCUGCUCCUAGUACGAGAGGACCGGAGUGGACGCAUCACUGGUGUUCGGGUUGUCAUGCCAAUGGCACUGCCCGGUAGCUAAAUGCGGAAGAGAUAAGUGCUGAAAGCAUCUAAGCACGAAACUUGCCCCGAGAUGAGUUCUCCCUGACUCCUUGA
rnacentral:rRNA from 1 species